rnacentral:lncRNA from 1 species
AUGUCCCUACUGCAGAGAGCAGUGUGGAGGGGAAAAACAAGAUGUAACUUCAAUAGCCUUUCUUGUGCAUGUGAGUUUAAGAAUAGCUGUUCCACUCAACUGGUAAUGGUAAUUGUUAGGCCCUCUGUGGCUCAGGGGAGAGUGAUGAGAUGGGAAGCCUGCCUAUUUCUAUCUCAAAACUUUAAGGAGACCACAGGCAGCUGAAUUCCUCCAGAGAGGAGCCAAACUCCUCAGUCCAGGUGAGGAAUUUUCUGAUACUUUAUUAAGACACAACUGCUCUGAACCUGUCAAUGUCUGUGAAUUCCAGCAUCUCUGAAGCUUUGUGUUUAAUGUCAGUUUGGGAUUCAAAAGACCCAGGUGCCAGGACACUUGGGCUACAAAGAACAAAGCCAGGAUGAAAGGGGAGAAACAUGCAGCAAAUUCCUAAGAAAUUCCAUUCACCAGACUAGGAGGGACAUGCCCCUGGUUAGGGAUGGCACAGUUUAACAGAGGGGACCAGUGACUGCAGUUUGGUUAAGAUAAGAAUUCAAGAGAGGCACAAAUGAACAUUUUGCACAUCCAUCCAAGGCAUUCCAAAAAAAGGAAAGAAAAGUCACAGACGUUGACACGUCACUUUGGACAAGAAACAUUACAACAGUUUGGCAACUUUUCACCAAUACCCCCCUCCCCCAACUCUGUGAAGCCCCUCUACUUUGAGGUGAACUCUUAAUGGUGGGGACAUGAGGGGGCUGCAGAUAAAUCACUGCAUGUAAAUGGGGGAUCUCCUCCGCAAAGAAUCAUAUGGGCUAAAACAAACCUACCUGCUUGCUACAGUAGAAAAGAAAUCCUGCCUGAAGUCCUCCCUUGGUGAGGAGAAAGGAGACAGAGCCCACGCUGCUGGAGACAAACAAGGCAAAGCUGAACUUGGCAGCAACAAGUCCCUAACCUUGUGACUUUGCACCAGGCUAAGAUAAGAUAUGGCCGUGGCAAGAUAUCGGAGGGGAAGAAGAUGUCGCCACUCUUCAAUCGAGAAGUAUAAAGGACAGGACUACUACUCUAUAGCCAUUCUGGAUGAACACAGGUCUCUUUGUUUACGCAUGAGAGGAGAUGGGCUUUGGAAAAUGCCAGGAGCCCAUAUGUAAUAGUGUUAACAGCAAGACCCAUGUUAGAUGUAC